GCGAGCGGGGGGUGUUGAGGAGGCUGGCGAAGGCGGUAAUGCAACCCUAAUGCACAGAUAGCUGACAUCAACUUCCGUCAGGCAGCUCCUGGAGAUCGAACCUUUCGAUUGUAACUGGGACAAUUUGCAUAGUGAUUCCCUUUCAGAGCUUUCCCAGGUCCAUAACAAGCCCAGGCAGCUAUUCAAAUGCAAGUUGCAACCCCAAAUGCAAUGCAAGGCUAGCCUGAUCAAAAAGCCAUUCCGGAGCCCAGGAGAAGAGAGACCCGGGCUCUGGAUUUCAUCCUUCUCUCUUCUUCUUUCUCUUCGGUUCCUGAUUUAGCUGGGAGCUGUUUAUUUAUGGCUGCAAAUGUGUGCGUGCGAGAGAGAGGGAGAAUUGAUCUUUGCCUGGACUUAAAGAUGGAGACGAAGGCGCUGGAGGGAAUUUGGGUUUGUGCAUCUAGCUCAGACCCCAGGCGCCGAAGGGGGCCUUUUGGCACGAAACCCGAGGUUUCUCUUUUUCGCACCCCUCACCUCGCGACCUUGCAGGAAUACACGGGCCCCGAAGCGGCCUGGCUGACCCGCCUGCCCGGGGACGGGUUGCUGAGAAAGGCUUCAUGGAGGGAGCCAUCCCCGUCCCUUUCUUUAAAAUGAGCGCAAUAAAAGGGGGCAAAUCCUCAAGCGCGAACCUGAUCGCUUGUCACAGAAGCAACUUGCCAUGAAAUCCGCUAAUGCGCCGCGACUCGCCCACCAGGGUUGCUUGGCUGUCUCUCCAAAUCAAACCCAAACCUGCUAAAGAUGAUCACAGGCCACUGUCCUUGCAACACUGACCGUUAUCUCAGUGGCAGAACCAGCUCCUCUGAUCAGAGAAUACAAAGCGGCGGCUAAAUUCGUGUCCUUUCUUUUUCUUUCUUUUUUUUUUUUUAUUGUAAGAAAAUGUAGGCUUCUCAAAUCCACAGAAGCAGCAAAACACAAAUUUCCCAGUGUUCUUUGUUUAUAUUUGUUGGUCUGCUGGAAGAUGUCUGACCACGAGCUUUUUCGUUGGGCUCACUUCAUGCAGAGCACUCCGGAUUUUUUUUUUUUUUCGUUUUUUCAUCAUGUAUCUUAAAAAAUACAUAGAAUGCUUUCCGGACCGUUUCGCAAUAGAUUUCUUAAGGAUCAGAUAUGUAGAGAAGCGUUGGGAUUGAAGGGUGAGAAAAGCAGACUGGAAGGUACAAAUAAACCCACUGCAAAUUGAAAACACACUGAACAGAAGAAAUGAUUAUGAAAGAAGAUGAGGGAAUUAACUAGUCUAGAAAGACUGGUUUUAAGAUCUGAAUUUUCCAGAUUUAAUGACUACACAUAACAAAUCAAAAGGAAUUAAAUCUAUUCUUUUACUUGUGUUUUCUUGAUGCACAACCAGAGAACACAGGCCCACUUGGGUAUGUUGGUCAAGUGCACAUUUCCAGGCUUUUCAAAGGACAAAUCAGCUUUGGGAUGCUUUCCUAUUUUUUCCAUAAACUACAACCAUUUUAGUUCUGAUGAAAAACAAUUUAAAAUUUAUUUCUGGCUGUAGAAAAAAAAAAGAAAAAUUUAAAACUCUGGCAGUAAAAUGAUUACCGUUUUCUAAGGGGUUAAUUUGAUGUAAAUAACCUACUUGCCUAGGAGCACAGAAGGGAGAACUUAGAGGUCCUGGCAGCAAAAAAAGACUGAUGGUGAGUUUUUAGAGUCUGAGAGCCUGGAGAGGCUCUGAAUCUAGCUUUGGGUUUGUUGCAUCCCUCUUGCUCUCUUAAAACAGUAACUCAAGAUGUAAGUAAAAGUGUUUUCAUUUUUUAUUGAUCCCACUAACAUCUUUCAUUAUCCAGCAUGUAGCCACAGCAAAUUAUUGCUCAUUUGAUACUGAGAAUUCUAUUGACUAUCACUUUCGUUGGAGAGAGAAUUCUAACUACUGGGCUGCUCUGUAGUCAGAGCUAAGGCUGAGGACAUUCCUCAGCUAAAACCCAAGUAAAUUGAGCCCUCUGCCUCCAGGAAUUGAUGGAGAUGUGUUCAUUACACUGGGCCACGUGAACAUGCAUAGAGAUCUGCUUUUUAUUCUGCCUACCUUGCCCCACUCAUGAGAAAGGUCGGCCCCUUUGGAACAGAUCUGCCUAUUUGGAGGGCUGAGCAUUCGUUUGCCUCUCCUGGAUCCCUUCUGGAGACCUCCUUCCAGCUCUGGCCAGUGUUAGGACAAGGGAAAUGAUGCAAUGGAAGCCUGCUCUUGUGGUCAAUCCUCUGCUCAAAACCACCCCAAUUUGGACACCUACAGAAAUCAUUAACACUCUCCCUAAAACAAACAAAAACCUCCUAAAAUAUCCAGAUAUGUGACUUAACUGUCAAGAUGUAAUUUCCUAAAUUAAACUGCCCUCCCGUUCAAGACCCUAUGUCAUCAGAGAGGGCUAAGUACAGGUAGAGGGAGCUCUGAGUUCCUCAUGUGUUCUCUCUUUGGUUGGCAAUGGGCGUCCAACUCCGAAUGACAGGUGGGGCGACUCCCUUGCUUGAGCCAGUGAAUGAGUGAGGAAGAACCCCGAGCCUAGUGAAGGUCUGACCUUUGACCCUACCUAGCAGCUCUGGCACUCAAGAAGAGGCCAGGUUUAUUUCCCGUGAAGCUAGAGGCUGAAUUUGCCUUCACGCCAAAAGGAGAGAAAGGAGCCCCGGAGCAGCUCUGUACCAGGAGCUACCCAACGCCUCAACCCUGGGGCCGCUUUCUCCCUCCCCAAGGUGGCAUUCUCAGCUGCCUGUCGGGACCCACGCGCCCUUGCUGCCUCCCUUCGGGCGUGUCCGUGAAAAGUUCCCGGGUUCGAGGAUGCGUCGGCCUGGCACUCCCGGGGCGAAGGAAGACGUCGAGCAUGACAGCUUUCCCCAUAAUAAGUAAUUCACCGCAGCUAAACCAUAAACCCCCAACCCCAAGACCUUGGAAAAUUGGGCAUUCUGUGGAGGAGAUGCUUUAGUUAGGUUUCAUUUCCGCAACCACCAGGAGAUAAGCCCUCUGGUUUCCAGAACAAAAGGAGAACCAGCUAACGACUUAAAACAAAUGAGUCGGCGCGUGCAGCCGGAGGACAGCUCCAACUCCAAAUCGGAAGGCGCCCUUAGGACUCUAAGAGAUCUGGCUUGGCCGUUAUUUUCCUAAGAGUGCUGAGACCGCGUGAAGCUGCUCGCACUCUCUCGAGGAUCGCACUCCACCCUCUCACGCGUUUGGGAGCCACUUUAUUCUAGAACAAGGCAGUAAUGCUGGGAGAGUGUUCUGCGCACGCUGGGACUCUCACCCAAGAGCGGCAACCUAGAGAUGGGAGUAGAUUGUAAAUCGGCUUUUGAGGGUAGAGGAAUUUGGGAGGAGAGUUUAAGCUGAGAUUCACAUGGUGGACUCUUUCGGUUUUCCUUUUUGUUUUUAAUGUAGAUAGGCAAACCCCAGCGUUGGUGUAACCAGCGCAAGCGCGCGUCCUAUUCCUCAAAUGCUCGAUCUACCGGCCACACUACAGCCCACAGUGCUUUCUGGAAACCCCAUUUUCCUGAUUGCAGCCCACACUCUGGAACCUCGCAACCCAUCCGGGGUAAGGAGUCAGAUCUGGGCCAAGUAGUGGGUCGGACACAGACACAGAUACACACACACACACACACACACACACACACACACACACACACACACGGAGGUGGGGGUGGGGGGAGAAAGAGAGAGAGAGAGAAAGGCAGUGCUUCGUUGGAUGAGGAUCCAGGGUGGCUGGAUAGAGAUCUGAAAGGCCCUAGCUGGCAGGAGUCUUGCAGCCCUUAAAGCAGCUUAAUCCUGAUAGUUAUUUUGAGAAACAAGACCUGGAACCUAGGUUUGAGCUUAACAGGGCAGUGGCAAGGAAUAAAUGUCCCAGCAUUUAUUUGGAAUGAGGGACAACUGCCCAGCUGACCUGGUGUUGUGGCAAACUGGACAUUAGGAAAUGUUUUCUCUUCGCGCACACAGUAGCACACAUUUCCUUGGAUGGAGAGCUCACCCAUGUGCAGGGAGCCUCUGGCUGGGCCAGUGCACCUCCCAACCACUCUUGCCGACUUCUUCAGGUUUUGCCAGGCAAAUGAAACAAGAAGAACUGGAUCAUAAAUUAUUUUGUUCAGACCUCUGUCUUUUCAUGAAAAUAAAAGACAAUACUUUGUCAUUUUUAAUCAUAUAAGCAGACAAUAAACCUAAUUUUGAUAUUGAUUUUUUC